AUGUGGUUUAAUUUGAAGCAACGCGAAGAACCUUACCAGGCCUUGACAUAUAAUGAAUUUUCUAGAGAUAGAGUGGUGCCUUCGGGAACAUUGAGACAGGUGCUGCAUGGCUGUCGUCAGCUCGUGUCGUGAGAUGUUGGGUUAAGUCUCGUAACGAGCGCAACCCUUGUCCUUAGUUACCAGCGCGUCAUGGUGGGCACUUUAAGGAGACUGCCGGGGCCAAACCGGAGGAAGGUGGGGAGGACGUCAAGUCUUCAUGGCCCUUACGCCCUGGGCUACACACGUGCUCCAAUGGUCGGUCCAAAGGGUUGCCAAGCCGCGAGGUGGAGCUAAUCCCAAAAAACCGAUCGUAGUCCGGAUCGCAUUCUGCAACUCGAUUGCGUGAAGUCGGAAUCGUUAGUAAUCGCGAAUCAGAAUGUCGCGGUGAAUACGUUCCCGGGCCUUGUACACACCGCCCGUCACACCCAUGGGAGUGGGUUGCACCCAGAACGUGAGCUAGUCUAACCCUUAAGGAGGCACGGUCACCCACGGGGUUCAAGGGC
rnacentral:rRNA from 1 species